rnacentral:rRNA from 1 species
GACGAACGCUGGCGGCGUGCUUAACACAUGCAAGUCGAACGGAAAGGCCCUGCUUUUGUGGGGUGCUCGAGUGGCGAACGGGUGAGUAACACGUGAGUAACCUGCCCUUGACUUUGGGAUAUCUUCAGGAAACUGGGGCUAAUACCGGAUAGGAGCUCCUGCUGCAUGGUGGGGGUUGGAAAGUUUCGGCGGUUGGGGAUGGACUCGCGGCUUAUCAGCUUGUUGGUGGGGUAGUGGCUUACCAAGGCUUUGACGGGUAGCCGGCCUGGGAGGGUGGCCGGCCACAUUGGGACUGGGAUAGGGCCCAGACUCCUACGGGAGGCAGCAGUGGGGAAUGUUGCACAAUGGGCGGAGGCCUGAUGCAGCAACGCCGCGUGCGGGAUGACGGGCUUCGGGUUGUAAACCGCUUUCGCCUGUGACGAAGCGUGAGUGACGGUAAUGGGUAAAGAAGCACCGGCUAACUACGUG